AUUGAACGCUGGCGGCAUGCCUUACACAUGCAAGUCGAGCGGAGAUGAGGUGCUUGCACCUUAUCUUAGCGGCGGACGGGUGAGUAAUGCUUAGGAAUCUGCCUAUUAGUGGGGGACAACAUUCCGAAAGGAAUGCUAAUACCGCAUACGUCCUACGGGAGAAAGCAGGGGAUCUUCGGACCUUGCGCUAAUAGAUGAGCCUAAGUCGGAUUAGCUAGUUGGUGGGGUAAAGGCCUACCAAGGCGAGGAUCGGUAGCGGGUCUGAGAGGAUCGUCUGCCACCCUGGAACUGGGCACCGGCCCAGACGCCUACGGGAGGCAGCCGUGGGGAAUAUUGGACAAUGGGGGAAACCCUGAUCCAGCCAUGCCGCGUGUGUGAAGAAGGCCUUAUGGUUGUAAAGCACUUUAAGCGAGGAGGAGGCUACUGAGACUAAUACUCUUGGAUAGUGGACGUUACUCGCAGAAUAAGCACCGGCUAACUCUGUGCCAGCAGCCGCCGUAAAAC
rnacentral:rRNA from 1 species